rnacentral:rRNA from 1 species
UACAGAGGUCUCAAGCGUUGUUCGGAUUCAUUGGGCGUAAAGGGUGCGUAGGCGGCGCGGUAAGUCGGGUGUGAAAUUUCGAGGCUUAACUUCGAAACUGCAUUCGAUACUGCCGUGCUUGAGGACUGGAGAGGAGACUGGAAUUUACGGUGUAGCGGUGAAAUGCGUAGAUAUCGUAAGGAAGACCAGUGGCGAAGGCGGGUCUCUGGACAGUUCCUGACGCUGGGGCACGAAGGCCAGGGGAGCAAACGGG